CCGGGGCAGCGGCAGUUGCUGCAGCAACGCGCGGAAAAAGUUGGCGGCCGCCUCGUCCGGCGAAAGGCGGCUGCCGCUGCCGCCAGCGACAGUCUCCAGAUAAUGGAUGGAGGGCAGUGAGAAGAUGUGUGUGAACUUUCUGUCAUGAAGGGCAAUUUGCAGGAACUAAUCAUCUUACAAUAGUUGGUCAUAAGAAAGAAAUCUAUCAACCAAGCAUCCUGCACAGCUAUCUGAAAUGGGAGGAAGGCAGAAAGCAACUUGCAAAUUCUGUGCAUAAUGAAGUGAGGAACAAGCUCACAUAAUGAAGACAAACAAUUAUACAACAUUUGCAUGAUUCUUUUUUCUUGCAACAUGAGACAAGACACACGGAGCUGAUUAGCAUACUGCCUUUGCCGUGAGUUUUGUUUCUUAUUUCCCCACCAUUUGGUAGGAUUCUCAAAGCCAAGAACAGGUCACAAUGUUUUGUCAAAGUUUUCUUAUAUUAUCCUAGGGAAUGUCAGGCAACCAAGAUCACCUGGCCAAAUUCAACCUGACACUGGUGACUUCUGUUUCUGUGACUGUCCUGGGGGUGUGUCCCUCACCUGAUACACAUAUGCCCAGAGCAAGACCCCAAUUCAGGCUCUAACCACUGAAUUCAACUGGCCAGAGAGUCCCAAAAUACUUGCUAGUCCCCAAAGUAUUUACUGUGCAUCUACUAUGUCCCAGC